ACGCUCGACACCUACGGGAGGCAGCAGUGGGGAAUAUUGCACAAUGGGGGAAACCCUGGNNNNGCGCCGCCGNGGAGGAAGAAGUACGUCGUAGUGUAACUACCUGUUGUUGGGUAAAGGAAGAGUGUACCGAACAAGAGUGACGCGUACUACGUGCCACAGCGCGUAUAUNGCGGCGUGNAG
rnacentral:rRNA from 1 species